AGCGAACGCUGGCGGCAGGCUUAACACAUGCAAGUCGAGCGGGCAUCUUCGGAUGUCAGCGGCAGACGGGUGAGUAACACGUGGGAACGUACCCUUCGGUUCGGAACAACUCUGGGAAGCUGGAGCUAAUACCGGAUACGCCCUUAUGGGGAAAGGUUUACUGCCGAAGGAUCGGCCCGCGUCUGAUUAGCUAGUUGGUGGGGUAACGGCCUACCAAGGCGACGAUCAGUAGCUGGUCUGAGAGGAUGAUCAGCCACACUGGGACUGAGACACGGCCCAGACUCCUACGGGAGGCAGCAGUGGGGAAUAUUGGACAAUGGGCGCAAGCCUGAUCCAGCCAUGCCGCGUGAGUGAUGAAGGCCUUAGGGUUGUAAAGCUCUUUUGUCCGGGGCGAUAAUGACGGUACCGGAAGAAUAAGCCCCGGCUAACUUCGUG
rnacentral:rRNA from 1 species